rnacentral:misc_RNA from 1 species
UAGCAGAAGCAGGUAAUAUCUGCAAAAGGUCAUUUGUGGCUGCUUCAGUUGACUCCAUUUGCUUGUCUGCAUUAAAAAUGACAAGUGAAAUAAUCAUUGCAUGCAGAAAUAAGUGCCAAUAAUAGAAAUGAUUAAGAGAUGAGCUAUUACCAGAGCUUUGUUCUACAUAUUUGAUCAAUUUAAGAAUUUCUUCCUGUCAACAACAUAGAAUGGGUUUUGAAAUGCAAUUAAUUUACAUUGAAUAUAUAAUACAUAAAAGUAACAAACCCUUUGCAUGAUGUUCUGCUGCAAAAUGCAUUGCAGUGAUGGGAGAACUGAGGCGGCUGUAAGGCUUGAUGUUGAUGGACUACUUGAACCUCCACAAACGGAAUUGAAAUAACAGUUUGUAGGACCCUUUGGGCUGAGAUCUGCUGAAGUGACCUUGAAGCGUCCUUUACGUUGGACAACUGCUCCUUCUGACAAAUCCUCCGCUGCAUGAACAGAUUCAACAAACAUAUCUUUUUUGGCUUAUACCCUACCGUCACCAUGUCCGUUAAUUACCUAACGGACUUGCUACGUCAGAUGCCACAUCACGCCAACAGAACGAACCUGCCAUGUCAUGCCAAUGGAUCAGAAGAAAGGUUAUUGGUUUCUCUUCUCUGUCGAUAUAACAAUGGACCACUAUAGUUUCGCUCUGGUUGAUAUUUUGGCUGUAGAAAAUCCCUGUUCUCAUCUCCAACAAUCUUUUUAGAAGAAAUGUUAUCAUCUGGCAUUAAUGGUCCACUAAAACAUUUUUUAUUCUCCAUAACAACAUUACGUGGUAAAGAACUGCUUCUCCCAGAAUUACCACCUUCAUUUGCUUCACCGUCUUGGUUUACAACAUUUGCCGACAACUUUGUAAGAACCUGUUGUUCAGAAUCUGUUUGGGCAGUACCUUUCCAACUUGGACUACUUCCAUCCACAUCAUCAUCUCCCACAUCAAAACAGCCUUUAAGUGCUUGAAGAGGUUUAAUUGCAAAUGAAGGAAGUGAACUCUCCAAAUCAUGAAGAUCACUGAACCCAUCCUCAUGACUAGGAGCAGCAGUUGAAUGGUUAGCCCUUUCAUGGGACAGCCUCUCAGCUGUAAGCUCAACAUUAUUGUGCCUGUGCCUCUGCUUCAUGCCCAUAUCUGGAUCUUCUGCAUUUGAUAUGCCAUCAAAAUCCUGAAUAAGAGCAGCCUGACUUUUCAAAUCCUCAAGGUUGAAAUUCCAGGCACUGAUUCCUUUUAUGUACUCUUGCUGUGAUAAUUGCUCUUUAUCUUCAUACAGAGCCUUUUUCUGAACAAGAAGAUUAGCCUCUUUUGCCUUCAGCACCCUAAAACGCUCUUCCAGAGGAUCAAGUCCAUCAAGAAUGGUACGAGCAACAUAUUCAUUUAACUGUGCAUGUUUAAAGAAAUGAUGUUUCAAAAGCUUUUCUGAGGUGGGACGUUUCUUUGGAUCCUUCACUAAGCAAGCAGCCACCAUCUCUUUGAAUGACUUAGAAAAUCUCAUGUCUCUUUCAUAAUCAAGUCCUGGAGGCGCACUUUGUAAAGUCAUCAGCAAAACUUUCAUUGGUGAUUUAUUGGAGAAAGAAGCAUGGCCAUGAGCAAGUUCAAGAGCAGUUAUUCCAAAUGACCAAAUGUCUGCUUUAAAGUCAUAUCCAUGUAAUUGCUGCAUAACUUCUGGAGCCAUCCAGCAUGAAGUUCCAACAAAGGUAUUUCUGGAUCGCUGCCUAUCUCCUGUAUCAAACAUGCAUGCUGACACUCUGGAGUCUGCUAACUUAACUGCACCAUUAGAAUCAAUUAAGAUGUUGCCAGCCUUAACGUCUCUAUGGAUUUGACCAUGAGCAUGAAGAUAAACAAGAGCUUUGAGAGUCUCAUGCAAUAGUGUGGCAAUAAUAGGCUCUUCAAAACCCUCUGGAUAAGCAUAUUUCAUUAUAUGAAGGCAGGAUCCCCCACCCAUGUACGGCAUCACAACCCAAAGGCUGUGGCCUGUGGUGAAAGAACAAUGCGCUUGUAAUACAUUUGGAUGAUCGAUCAAGCUCAUUGUCUGUUCCUCUCGUCGCAUGUCAUCCAGGUCAUUGUUGCACCUUUCCAGGUCAAGAACCUUAAUAGCAACUGUCUCAUUAAGUGGGAUGCAAAGAGCCUUAUAAACAGUGGCACUGCCACCUUCACCAACUUCUUCACAUAACUUGUAAUCUUUUGCACUUACAGGAUACCUUUUCUCUGAAAUGUGCUCCAUGGUUUCGUCUUGUAGCGCACCAUUAACAUCCCCCUUUACUCAAAGAUGUCCCAUAAAACAUUAAUGAAGUGUAUAUAGAGAAGGUAAAAACUAAGUUGAUGUGGGGUUUCUUCCAAUUUGGUAGCAUCUCCCCCUUCUUCAGCAUGAAAUGUUGUAUGAAUCUAGUGGUAUCAUCAAGAUGAUAUUACCAACCAUUUCUUGCAUGUAGAACCAUUAACCUCAAUAAACUUAAAUUAUCCUUACAACUCCCAAAAGUAGACUAGAAAAACACUGCCUCAGCAUGUUGCAAAAUUAUAUCCCCAAAAAUGAAAAAAAUAAUGGUAUCUGAUGUCAAUGAUCCUAGACUGAAUUAUCAGAAUCUGUUAUGGAUUAUCAGAAAAUGACUAAGCUGAUAAAAGGUAUUAGCAUGUACAACAAUUUAGUAGAAUGCCAAACUUUUAAUAUGCUCCCAAAGCCAAGCAGAGAAAAUUCUUUUGAUUCAGGUGCAUGAACAGUUGAAGAACAACUAUUCUUGGACAAUAAUUUACCUAGAACUCGUACAAAACCAAAGGGUGUUAAAAACAAAUCAAUUGCAUUCUUGAGUAAACAUAUAAAAUCCUCAUUACAUUUUUUUUUUUUUUU